rnacentral:rRNA from 1 species
AGUGAACGCUGGCGGUAGGCCUAACACAUGCAAGUCGAACGGCAGGACAGUACGAGCUUGCUCUUACCGAUUGGCAAUGGCGUGCGGAAGAGGAAUGCAUCGGGCUCUACUCUUUCGUGUGGGUUCACGUAAGGGAGCCUACUCUAGUAUCGCAUACGACGUACGGGUGAAAGCGUGGGAUAGUCUCAGCUGGCGCGGUUGAAUGAGCCGAUGUUGAGUUAGCUGGUUGGCGGGGUAAAGGCCAAGUCAGUGGCGGAUCCGUAGCCGGUGUGAGAGGACGGUCGGCGACACUGGAACUGAGACACGGUCCAGACUACUAAGGGAGGCAGCAGUGGGGAAUAUUGGACAAUGGGCGCAAGCCUGAUCCAGCCAUACCGCGUGGGUGAAGAAGGCCUUCGGGUUGGAAAGCCGUUUUGUUGGGAAAGAACAGCAGUAGGUUAAUACCACGCGGGUCUGACGGUACCCAAAGAAUAAGCACCGGCUAACUUCGUG